rnacentral:tRNA from 1 species
UAUGCUUUAGUAUAUGAGGUACAGAAAUUUUUGAUAUUUUUAGAAAUGGUUUGAUUCCAUUAAGCAUAU